GAGUAACCUGCCCUUAACUCUGGGAUAAGCCUGGGAAACUGGGUCUAAUACCGGAUAGGAGCGUCCACCGCAUGGUGGGUGUUGGAAAGAUUUAUCGGUUUUGGAUGGACUCGCGGCCUAUCAGCUUGUUGGUGAGGUAAUGGCUCACCAAGGCGACGACGGGUAGCCGGCCUGAGAGGGUGACCGGCCACACUGGGACUGAGACACGGCCCAGACUCCUACGGGAGGCAGCAGUGGGGAAUAUUGCACAAUGGGCGCAAGCCUGAUGCAGCGACGCCGCGUGAGGGAUGACGGCCUUCGGGUUGUAAACCUCUUUCAGUAGGGAAGAAGCGAAAGUGACGGUACCUGCAGAAGAAGCACCGGCUAACUACGUGCCAGCAGCCGCGGUAAUACGUAGGGUGCGAGCGUUAUCCGGAAUUAUUGGGCGUAAAGAGCUCGUAGGCGGUUUGUCGCGUCUGUCGUGAAAGUCCGGGGCUUAACCCCGGAUCUGCGGUGGGUACGGGCAGACUAGAGUGCAGUAGGGGAGACUGGAAUUCCUGGUGUAGCGGUGGAAUGCGCAGAUAUCAGGAGGAACACCGAUGGCGAAGGCAGGUCUCUGGGCUGUAACUGACGCUGAGGAGCGAAAGCAUGCGGAGCGAACAGGAUUAGAUACCCUGGUAGUCCAUGCCGUACACGUUGUGCACUAGGUGUGGGGACCAUUCCACGGUUUCCGCGCCGCAGCUACUGCAUUAGCUGCCCCGCCUGGGGGAUUCCCGCCGCAGGGCUUACACUCAGAGGAAUUGACGGGGGCCCCCGAAACUCGCCGGAACAUGCGGGAUUAAUUCCAUACAAGCCGAAAAACCCUCACCAAGGCUUG
rnacentral:rRNA from 1 species